rnacentral:pre_miRNA from 1 species
AGGAGUUGUAUUGCCACCAUGUGACUUUUACUUGGAUUCAAGGGAGCUCCU